UUUAUCUUGGUGUAAGGCACGUAAAAUUUUGAUUUUUAAGGAAAUUAUAUUUAGGUAAAU
rnacentral:tRNA from 2 species